GUCUGAAUAGUUUUUGUUGGGUCUAAUAGGAGUUUUUCGUAGACUUCUGGGUCAUUUAGUUGUCUGAGCGCUUCUUCAAUGUACAUGGCACUCGAUAAGAUGACCAGGCCACCACCUUUAUCGGCAGGUUUUAUUACAAUGUCGUUAUCAUCUUGUAGUUCUUUAAGUGCUUGUUUUUCUUUGUUUGUUAGAUUUUGUUUAUCAUAUUUAUUGGUCUGUAAUUUGUUUAGGUCAUGUGUGACUAAUUUUUCAAAGACAGUUAAAGGGGCAG